CAUAGAUCAUUAUAAUAAUUUUAUGCAGAACAGAGCAGAAGUGGUAUUCCAAAACUGAACUGGCACCACCUUCUCUGUGACGUACAUUUUAGGUCACUUUUCUGAAGUUCUGACUGUCACUCUUUUAUCUGAGUUCCUACUGGAAACCUAUCACCACUUCCUCUCCAGUCUACCCUCAUUUUAGCCAUGUUCUUGUUCUUAGGAACAUAGCUGUCUCACUAGAGAUCCUAUCACAAUUCUGUGUAUACAAGAAGUUAGAACACUUGAAAUCAGCUAAGCGAGAAUGCCAUCAGCAGUGCAUCGAUCUCAGCUGCAUCCAGGUGUAUCAGUUGAAUGGCAGAGGGACUAGAAAUUACAUUUCAUGAAGAAAACUUACAGAACUGAAGAUAUUUAGGCUGCAAAAGAAAAGACUAAGGUAAGCCUGUGGGCAGGUUAAGGUUUAAAACACUAAGAGUUCACCUGUAGACUAAUGCUUAGAAAGAGAAGACAAGAAAAAUGAGGAACGGAAUACAGAGAAACAAAUCUUGGCUUAUUUUAAAUCCUUUUCAGAGAACAGUAUACAAGCAUGGUGAAGAGUGAAAUGUCUACUGCUAAACUACAGAGGUAUCCGAUACAGGUUCUUAAGUGCUGAGGGACUUUGCAUAAAUUACUGAGGCUGUGGUUUUGGUUUUCUCCAGUGUAAAUAGUGUUGAAUACAGUAUCCAUAAAAUACCUGAACAGGUUGAGAAAGGAAAUGUGUAUAAAGUGGUUAAAAAGAGACUGACACAAAGUAAGUGCUCUAUAAAAAUUGCCUGUAAAAAAUAAGACUACCACAA
rnacentral:lncRNA from 1 species